GACGAACCGUGCGAACGUUGUUCGGAUUCACUGGGCUUAAAGGGCGCGUAGGCGGGUGCUCAAGUCCGUGGUGAAAUCCUCCGGCUCAACCGGAGAACUGCCUCGGAUACUGGGCGUCUCGAGUGUGGUAGGGGUAUGCGGAACUAUCGGUGGAGCGGUGAAAUGCGUUGAUAUCGAUAGGAACUCCGGUGGCGAAGGCGGCAUACUGGACCACCACUGACGCUGAUGCGCGAAAGCCAGGGGAGCAAACGGG
rnacentral:rRNA from 1 species